rnacentral:rRNA from 1 species
UUCUUUAUCACCGAGUGCUUGCACUCACCGAUAAAGAGUUGAGUGGCGAACGGGUGAGUAACACGUGGGCAACCUGCCCAAAAGAGGGGGAUAACACUUGGAAACAGGUGCUAAUACCGCAUAACCAUAGUUACCGCAUGGUAACUAUGUAAAAGGUGGCUAUGCUACCGCUUUUGGAUGGGCCCGCGACGCAUUAGCUAGUUGGUGGGGUAAAGGCUUACCAAGGCAAUGAUGCGUAGCCGAACUGAGAGGUUGAUCGGCACAUUGGGACUGAGACACGGCCCAAACUCCUACGGGAGGCAGCAGUAGGGAAUCUUCCACAAUGGGCGAAAGCCUGAUGGAGCAACGCCGCGUGGGUGAAGAAGGUCUUCGGAUCGUAAAACCCUGUUGUUAGAGAAGAAAGUGCGUGAGAGUAACUGUUCACGUUUCGACGGUAUCUAACCAGAAAGCCACGGCUAACUACGUGCCAGCAGCCGCGGUAAUACGUAGGUGGCAAGCGUUAUCCGGAUUUAUUGGGCGUAAAGAGAACGCAGGCGGUCUUUUAAGUCUGAUAUGAAAGCCUUCGGCUUAACCGGAGUAGUGCAUUGGAAACUGGGAGACUUGAGUGCAGAAGAGGAGAGUGGAACUCCAUGUGUAGCGGUGAAAUGCGUAGAUAUAUGGAAGAACACCAGUGGCGAAAGCGGCUCUCUGGUCUGUAACUGACGCUGAGGUUCGAAAGCGUGGGUAGCAA